rnacentral:ribozyme from 1 species
GAACACAGAAAAGACAGGGAAUUCGUGACAUGUUUGUGUGUGAGCAUGGUUGAGCGAAUACAUUUAAUUUUUUUUGUCAAUUUUUUCCGUUUGUUAUUUACUAAAAGCCGUAC